rnacentral:rRNA from 1 species
AGUGAACGCUGGCGGUAGGCCUAACACAUGCAAGUCGAACGGCAGCACAGUAAGAGCUUGCUCUUACGGGUGGCGAGUGGCGGACGGGUGAGGAAUACAUCGGAAUCUACUUUUUCGUGGGGGAUAACGUAGGGAAACUUACGCUAAUACCGCAUACGACCUACGGGUGGAAGCAGGGGAUCUUCGGACCUUGCGCGAUUGAAUGAGCCGAUGUCGGAUUAGCUAGUUGGCGGGGUAAAGGCCCACCUAGGCGACGAUCCGUAGCUGGUCUGAGAGGAUGAUCAGCCACACUGGAACUGAGACACGGUCCAGACUCCUACGGGAGGCAGCAGUGGGGAAUAUUGGACAAUGGGCGCAAGCCUGAUCCAGCCAUACCGCGUGGGUGAAGAAGGCCUUCGGGUUGUAAAGCCCUUUUGUUGGGAAAGAAAAGCAGCAGGUUAAUACCCCGCUGUUCUGACGGUACCCAAAGAAUAAGCACCGGCUAACUUCGUG